rnacentral:rRNA from 2 species
AAUCAACGNCUGGCGGCGCGCCUAACACAUGCAAGUCGAACGAGAAAGUGGAGCAAUCCAUGAGUACAGUGGCGUACGGGUGAGUAACACGUGGGUAAUCUACCUUUUAGUGAGGAAUAACCGAGGGAAACUUCGGCUAAUACCGCAUAAGCCUGAGAAGGGAAAGCAGAAAUGCGCUGAAAGAGGAGCCCGCGGCCGAUUAGCUAGUUGGUGGGGUAAGAGCCCACCAAGGCAGAGAUCGGUAGCCGGCCUGAGAGGGCACACGGCCACACUGGCACUGAAACACGGGCCAGACUCCUACGGGAGGCAGCAGUGGGGAAUCUUGCACAAUGGGGGAAACCCUGAUGCAGCGACGCCGCGUGAGCGAUGAAGCCCUUCGGGGUGUAAAGCUCUUUCGGCAGGGAAGAUAGUGACGGUACCUGCAGAAGCAGCUGCGGCUAACUACGUGCCAGCAGCCGCGGUAAUACGUAGGCAGCAAGCGUUGUUCGGAGUUACUGGGCGUAAAGGGUGUGUAGGCGGUUCCUUAAGUUUGCUGUGAAAUCUCCCGGCUUAACCGGGAGGGUGCGGUGAAUACUGAGGGACUAGAGUACGGGAGAGGAAAGUGGAAUUCCUGGUGUAGCGGUGAAAUGCGUAGAUAUCAGGAGGAACACCGGUGGUGUAAACGGCUUUCUGGACCGACACUG